rnacentral:rRNA from 1 species
CUCGUAGGUGGCCAACUAAGUCAGACGUGAAAUCCCUCGGCUUAACCGGGGAACUGCGUCUGAUACUGGAUGGCUUGAGUUUGGGAGAGGGAUGCGGAAUUCCAGGUGUAGCGGUGAAAUGCGUAGAUAUCUGGAGGAACACCGGUGGCGAAGGCGGCAUCCUGGACCAACACUGACGCUGAGUGAGCGAAAGCCAGGGAGCAAACG